CACAAACACAGAACUCUGAAUGUUUACAAUGUUUAAACAGUUCACAUCUCUCUCAAGUUGGUCUUCUAGCUGAAUAGCUGACGGUGACCUUGAACUCUGAGCUUCAUGCCUCUGCCUGCUAAGUGAUUACACUGCAUCCUUACGUUAAUCAAAUCCUACCUAGAGACUGCCCAGGACUUCAUUCAUACCAGAAAGUGGGCUUUCCUAACAGAACUCAUGGGCCAGACAAGAAGAUUAGUGAUGUCACUAAUAACCCAGAGUUCCACAUCCAAGGGAAGCUGCACCCAUGGAUUCUCAACAAUAUGGCUGCCUGAACCAAUACAAUGAACUCCAUAAUGACAUCAUCAACUGACAAGCCAAAAAAUAGGCAGGGGAAUUCCAUAUGGUCUCAGCCCUAGAUCAAGAGCUAGGGUCAUCAGUCACUGCUGAGAGAGGGAGAUUCAGACCCCUUCAGAAACAAGCACCACAGAAGACACCCAAUCCCAAGUGAC